GGCCGGGCGCGGUGGCUCACGCCUGUAAUCCCAGCUCUCAGGGAGGCUAAGAGGCGGGAGGAUAGCUUGAGCCCUGGAGUUCGAGACCUACCCGGGCAAUAUAGUGAGACCCCGUUCUCCAGAAAAAUGAAAAAGAAAAAAAACAAAAGACAAAAAAAAAAUAAGCGUAACUUCCCUCAAAGCAACAACCCCCCCCCCCCCUUU
rnacentral:scRNA from 1 species